rnacentral:tRNA from 1 species
GCGCCUAUAGCUUAGUUGGAUAGAGCAUCCGCCUUCUAAGUAGCUGGUCACAGGUUUGAAUUGUGUUAGGUGUC